rnacentral:tRNA from 1 species
ACCGAAAUAGUUCAGUUAGGAGAGCGUUAGACUAUAGAUCGUAAGGUCCCUGGUUCGAUCCCGGGAUUCGGCA